rnacentral:rRNA from 1 species
UACGUAGGGGGCAAGCGUUGUCCGGAUUUAUUGGGCGUAAAGCGCUCGCAGGUGGUUCGUCGCGUCGUGCGUGAAAGACCCCGGCUCAACUGGGGAGGGUCGUGCGAUACGGGCGGACUGGAGGCCAGUAGGGGGAUGCGGAAUUCCGGGUGUAGUGGUGGAAUGCGUAGAGAUCCGGAGGAACACCAGCGGCGAAGGCGGCAUCCUGGACUGGUCCUGACACUCAGGAGCGAAAGCGUGGGGAGCGAGUCCGGG